rnacentral:rRNA from 1 species
GACGAACGCUGGCGGCGUGCUUAACACAUGCAAGUCGAGCGGUAAGGCCCUUUCGGGGUACGACGAGCGGCGAACGGGUGAGUAACACGUGGGUGACCUGCCCUCAGCUCUGGGAUAAGCCUGGGAAACCGGGUCUAAUACUGGAUAUGACUCCAUGACGCAUGUUGUGGGGUGGAAAGCCUUGUGCGGCUGAGGAUGGGCCCGCGGCCUAUCAGCUUGUUGGUGGGGUGAGGCCUACCAAGGCGACGACGGGUAGCCGGCCUGAGAGGGCGACCGGCCACACUGGGACUGAGACACGGCCCAGACUCCUACGGGAGGCAG